rnacentral:tRNA from 1 species
GGAAAAUCCGUCGACUUGAAAAAUCGUGAGGGUUCAAGUCCC